rnacentral:tRNA from 1 species
GCAGAUGUAGUUUAACGGAAAAACGCUGUUUUGCCAUAGCAGAGUUGAGGGUUCGAUUCCCUUCAUUUGCUUCA